GACCCGUUCCUUGCACGCUCUGGACACAGCCCAGAAUUGCUUCCCAAGCCAGCGCGCGCCGGCCGUUGCAAUGGACAGCAUAGAGGUAAACGUUUGCCUGAGAGCGCGCGCCAGCUCCGCCACCCCGCCGGCUGGAUGGAUGGCUGGAUGGAUGGCUGGAUGGAUGGCUGGAUGGAUGGCUGGAUGGAUGGAUGGCUGGUGACUUUGCCCAGAAGACCAUGUCACAAAGCAACGGGCGCUCGGCCAAACUGCAUUACGACGCGUCUGCCCUCAGGGAACGUGCCGGCCCCCAAAUGAAAUCACCUGGCUGUUUAUAGGAGCCUCAGUGCUGAUGAAAAGACUGCGUUAUGCCCCAGACUUUUCCUCGCCAAAGGAGAAACGUUCCAGGCUUUUGCAAAGUAUGCAAAGCAUCCGAUCUGAGAAGUGGCCACAGCAUUUGGGACCAAUUACCCAGAUAAAGAGGCAACACUGUUCUGUUUACAACGUAGCCCAGAGCUGUUUGGCUCUGGCCCGCACGCGGCCGACUGUGAAUUAGAGAAAUUUCGGCCUCACGCCCGCUCCCCUUUUGACCCUUGCGUCUGAGCGCACAGAAAAGCAGGUUUGGAUGGUCGUUUAGGUGAAAAUGUGACUGAGGCCCUGAUCGUGGAGUAUUAUGGAGUCUUGGAUUUGGAGAGUAUAUGUGUAUUUUUAAUUGAUUUUUAGAGAGAGAGAGAG